rnacentral:rRNA from 1 species
AGUGAACGCUGGCGGUAGGCCUAACACAUGCAAGUCGAACGGCAGCACAGUAAGAGCUUGCUCUUACGGGUGGCGAGUGGCGGAUGGGUGAGGAAUACAUCGGAAUCUACUUUUUCGUGGGGGAUAACGUAGGGAAACUUACGCUAAUACCGCAUACGACCUACGGGUGAAAGCAGGGGAUCUUCGGACCUUGCGCGAUUGAAUGAGCCGAUGUCGGAUUAGCUAGUUGGCGGGGUAAAGGCCCACCAAGGCGACGAUCCGUAGCUGGUCUGAGAGGAUGAUCAGCCACACUGGAACUGAGACACGGUCCAGACUCCUACGGGAGGCAGCAGUGGGGAAUAUUGGACAAUGGGCGCAAGCCUGAUCCAGCCAUACCGCGUGGGUGAAGAAGGCCUUCGGGUUGUAAAGCCCUUUUGUUGGGAAAGAAGAGCAGCAGGUUAAUACCCCGCUGUUCUGACGGUACCCAAAGAAUAAGCACCGGCUAACUUCGUG